GGCUCAGUGGCGCAAUGGUAGCGCAUUGGACUUCUAAUUCAAAGGUUGUGGGUUCGAGUUCCACCAGAGUCG